ensembl:lncRNA
UUUUAUUAAAGGUUUAUAAUAAGGAUAUAAACUUUUUAAUGAUGUUUACUAUUUCUGCUGGAUAAUUAAUCUAAAAUUUAUUAGUGGCAAUAAAGCAAUGAUUUUAUUCAGCUCACAGUGAGGGCUUGUGUGUACUGUUCUCACUUGUGCUAUGAUGUGCUAAGUCGCUUCAGUAGUGUCUGACUCUUUGUGACCCUAUGGACAGUGUGGACAGGCUCCUCUGUCCAUCCUGAUUGGAUGUUGGCUGGGACUCAAGUUACCCAAGGGUUUACCAAGCCCUGUAGCUCCCAGAGUUGGUGGUUGACGUUGGCUACUGAUGACAGCACCUACAUGGGACUCUCCACCAGAACAUUAUCAGGGGAGCAAAGACAAAUCUCCCAAGAAAGCUGCAGAAAAUGGGAAAGAGAGCAGCCUCAGCCCAUCGGGGCAAACUCAACUCAGGGCACGGCAGCUGGCUCUGGUGCGAGAAGUGGAGAUGAACUGGUACCUAAAACUCUGGGAGCUGUCCACCGAGCACACCGCUGCCUACACCACCGGUAUGCCUCACAGGUAAGACUCCCCACUCCCCGCACCGGCUGUAUGAGACCCUGUCUGAAAGUGCUCUCCUGAGUGAAUGCUUGGAUUUCUUUUCCCAUGCUCCUGGAGAUGUAACAGCUCUGUCUUGUACAGAUGAUUGACAUUUCCAAAUGUCUAACUGUAAAGAGCAGGAAUUUGGUGAAAAUGGCAAAUAAUGCUCCCUGGAUUGUUAUUCAGAAAACACCCCUUGUAAGGAGGCAGUAAGCACUCAAAAGCCAAGAGGGAAAAGGAGUAUGGCAUUAAGAUUGGUCUUAAAUGACAUUCAGAGGAAUUCAAAAAUUGCAUUAAAAUGCCUCCUUCCAAAACAAUAACAAAAACUUUGCAAUUUUUCACUACUUACCUCAUCCUCAGAACUUGAGGAUGAGGGAAGGAAAUAUGUUUUGCCUGUUUGAAAAGUGUAUAGUUGAAUAGUGUGAACUUGUUGAUCGAGAGCUCAGCAUGCAAUGGGAGUAUAGAAUAGAACACACUGACCACCAGCCUGGGGGUCUGGGCCCCCUGUCUAAGACAGACAUCAUCAGGAGAAAAAGGUACUUUUUUAAAAAAAGGAGGUCAAUGUAAGACAGAUCCCUGUAGAUUUUCUCUCUGUCCUUUUCUCAGCCUCAGCUUCAAAUAAUGCAGGGGAGGAAUAAUUUCACAAAUCCCAAUGUUAUAAGACAAAAUGUGUGGAGUAAAAGUGUCUGGAAUCCUGAAAUUUAAGAAUGCUUAUUCACUGUAACUGCUACAAAAAAAUCUCUUAGGAAUUAAAGAUAAUUUUUCAAGGAAAAUGAUCCUGAAAAUAAAGACCAAGACAACUUUUUAUUAAGUGACAAUAAAAAUUCACUAGAAAUGAAAAAUAGUUUCAAUGAAAUUGUCAAAGCAGGAAAAACUUUUUGCAGAGACUGUGGCAGCAUAGAAAUUCCACAAUGUAUUAUGUGUAUCAAAGCAUCCCAGUGUGCUCUGAGCUGCCCCAUUAUAUUUCUAAUUCUAAAAAGACAUUAUAAGAAAAUAUUUAGUGAUUGAAUUAACUUGAUGCAUAUAGAUUAAAAAUUUGUUGGACUACAAAAUGCCUGAACUUCCAUUUUUCAAACCUUUCCAAGGCAAGAAUAAAAGUUACUGCCAAAUCUAAGCCACCAUUUAAAAAUCAGCAUUUAAAAAUUAGAACAAGAUAAAGUGUGUAUAAGUGCUUUAUGAAACACAU